GACGAACGCUGGCGGCGUGCUUAACACAUGCAAGUCGAACGGAAAGGCCUGCUUUCCCUUGUGGAUUGCGGGUACUCGAGUGGCGAACGGGUGAGUAACACGUGAGUGAUCUGCCCCCAACUUGGGUAUAAGCCUGGGAAACUGGGUCUAAUUCCCGAUAGGACUGCAGGGUGGUGCCUGUGGUGGAAAACGAUUUUCUAGUGGUUGGGGAUGAGCUCGCGGCCUAUCAGCUUGUUGGUGGGGUAAUGGCCUACCAAGGCGGCGACGGGUAGCCGGCCUGGGAGGGGCGGCGGGGAGAGGUGGACUGGGUUGCGGCGCGGACGGAGGCGGGCGGCAGCGGUGGGGGGGGGGGGACGAGGGGCGGACGCCUGAUGACGCGGCGCAGCGUGGGGGAUGACGGGUGGCGGGUGGGGAGCUGCUGGCGGAGGCGAAGAAGCCACCUGGUUGGAAGGGGGGUGACGGUGCUGGUAGAAGAAGCACCGGCUAACGACGUG
rnacentral:rRNA from 1 species